rnacentral:rRNA from 1 species
AAACGACAUCGAAAGCUUGCUUUUGAUGGGCGUCGACCGGCGCACGGGUGAGUAACGCGUAUCCAACCUGCCCACCACUUGGGGAUAACCUUGCGAAAGUAAGACUAAUACCCAAUGAUAUCUCUAGAAGACAUCUGAAAGAGAUUAAAGAUUUAUCGCUGAAAGAUGGCCUCGCGUCUGAUUAGCUAGUUGGUGAGGUAACGGCCCACCAAGGCAACGAUCAGUAGGGGUUCUGAGAGGAAGGUCCCCACAUUGGAACUGAGACACGGUCCAAACUCC